rnacentral:ncRNA from 2 species
UUCUUAUCAAGAGCAGGCGGAGGGAAAAGCCCGAUGAAGCCCGGCAACCGACUUAAACCAGUUUUAGGCACGGUGCUAAUUCUUGCAGCAACAAGCUGAUAGAUGAGAA